UGUUACGAGUUUUACAUUUA
rnacentral:rRNA from 1 species